UACAGAGGAUGCAAGCGUUAUCCGGAAUGAUUGGGCGUAAAGCGUCUGUAGGUGGCUUUUUAAGUCCGCCGUCAAAUCCCAGGGCUCAACUCUGGACAGGCGGUGGAAACUACCAAGCUGGAGUACGGUAGGGGCAGAGGGAAUUUCCGGUGGAGCGGUGAAAUGCGUAGAGAUUGGAAAGAACACCGAUGGCGAAGGCAGGUCUCUGGGCUGAUACUGACGCUCAUGCACGAAAGCGUGGGGAGCAAACAGG
rnacentral:rRNA from 1 species